GACGAACGCUGGCGGCGUGCCUAAUACAUGCAAGUAGAACGCACAGGAUGCACCGUAGUUUACUACACCGUAUUCUGUGAGUUGCGAACGGGUGAGUAACGCGUAGGUAACCUGCCUGGUAGCGGGGGAUAACUAUUGGAAACGAUAGCUAAUACCGCAUAAGAACAUUUACUGCAUGGUAGAUGUCUAAAAGGUGCAAAUGCAUCACUACCAGAUGGACCUGCGUUGUAUUAGCUAGUAGGUGAGGUAACGGCUCACCUAGGCGACGAUACAUAGCCGACCUGAGAGGGUGAUCGGCCACACUGGGACUGAGACACGGCCCAGACUCCUACGGGAGGCAGCAGUAGGGAAUCUUCGGCAAUGGGGGGAACCCUGACCGAGCAACGCCGCGUGAGUGAAGAAGGUUUUCGGAUCGUAAAGCUCUGUUG
rnacentral:rRNA from 1 species